AUUGAACGCUGGCGGCAGGCUUAACACAUGCAAGUCGAGCGGGGUGAUGGUGCUUGCACUAUCACUUAGCGGCGGACGGGUGAGUAAUGCUUAGGAAUCUGCCUAUUAGUGGGGGACAACAUCUCGAAAGGGAUGCUAAUACCGCAUACGUCCUACGGGAGAAAGCAGGGGAUCACUUGUGACCUUGCGCUAAUAGAUGAGCCUAGGUCGGAUUAGCUAGUUGGUGGGGUAAAGGCCUACCAAGGCGACGAUCUGUAGCGGGUCUGAGAGGAUGAUCCGCCACACUUGGACUGAGACACCGCCCAGACUCCUACGGGAGGCAGCAGUGGGGAAUAUUGGACAAUGGGGGGAACCCUGAACCAGCCAUGCCGCGUGUGUGAAGAAGGCCUUAUGGUUGUAAAGCACUUUAAGCGAGGAGGAGGCUCUUUUGGUUAAUACCCAAGAUGAGUGGACGUUACUCGCAGAAUAAGCACCGGCUAACUCUGUGCCAGCCGCCGCAGUAA
rnacentral:rRNA from 1 species